GCCGCCUGGAGACAAAUGAUAUGGAAAAAGGCCUUUGUGACAUAGGUCCCUGCUGGCACUGUGCUGUACAAGCAGAAGGAUACUUAGACAGAAGGUCCUUCCUGGCAGCACAUCUAUCUGCUGAGGCUCCCAGAUGACCCAGACCAGUGCAUUCUGCGUGCUCCUCUAGUGCUGCCAUCACAGCCAAAGAUUGGGAUAUUGCAAGAUCAAAGUGAUAACCUAAGAGACUCAUGCAGAGACACAGGAGGAAACUGUGCUGCCUCUGAACUGCAAAAUCACUUUCCUCUCCCUUCCUUCCCUUUGCAUCGUUCCUUACUGCCCCAGAUGUGAGCCUUCUCCAGGGGAAGGAUUAAAUAUGAGUUUGAUCCAGAGAAAAGAGACAAAGAAUGGAAAGGAAAAGAGAGAAGAACAGAGAGAGAAGAAAAAAUAACAGAUGCAGAAAAAAGAUACCGUCUUAGAAGCUCAACAGAAAAGAACUGGGAAAAAGGCUUCUCGGGAAGGAAAGUGAGGAAGUACAGAGAAACAUCUCAGCGUUAGCAGAAAGUGAAAGGCGAAUACCAAGCAAGCAGGAGCAGGAAGAGCCCUGGCUGAGCCAACUCAACCAGUUGGAUGCUGUACUGAGAAAUUGGCUUCUUUCCCUACCUUUGCCACAGAGUUUGUCC